CAGGUUCUCUCUCUCUUCUGCAAAAAGGCCACCAUUUAGGCUCUUAAUCAGAUUAGCAGGGAGCCCUUCCUGAGGGGCUUUGAAAAGCAUCUGAAGCCCACAUGAGAGACACAGAGGGAGAGGCAGAGACACAGGCAGAGGAAGAAGCAAGCUCUCUGCGGGGAGCCCAAUGUGGGACUCAAUUCCAGAAGAAACCUCAGCAAACAGAAAGAACGAGGGACUUGGAUAUGCCCCAAAGGCAUGAGCAUCACUUAUCAGACGUACAUGUGCAAUAACCUAAUUGCUGUAAGGAAUGUCUUACCUCUGCUGGAGCUAAAUUUACAUUUCCAGAUGCCGCCUUGCUGCACCAAACACAAAACCACUGUGGUCUGCUCCUGUCACAGUGGCCUAUAAGUGACCACCCCAAGCGGCCAGUCAGUCUGACACUGGAGACAGGGAGGCGUCAUGUCAGUUUAAAGGACUGGAAGGGGAUAAAUGCCACAGUCCCAACCGGCUCCUGCCAAGUUCAGAAUACGCCAAGCUUUUUGUAGGGCCUUUGAAUGAUUUGAAUGAGUGUUCACCCCUGCCAACAGCAAUACAAAAAUUGCCCCUCUCAGAAGCAACACUUUGAUAUUUGCACAAGGCAUUCUCUCUUCCAGGAAGGCAUUUCCACUUGAUCAUAUGCCAGCCACUGACAAUCUUAUGAUUGCCUUACAUACACUCGGGUCCAUAUUACUUGGUUGUUUCCCAUCAUGGGCUCCUCACAUGGAAUUUGCCCACUUUUCUCCUGGAGAGAAUGUGUGUUUCAGUCCGUAUGUGCUGAAAGUCCAUUCAUGAUGUUCAAGGAAAACUGCUUGAGUUUUAGUUGAUACUCAGAGAAGGAAAUAA
rnacentral:lncRNA from 1 species